CAGCUGGUCAGCUUAGCUGACCUGGGCGGCCAGCAGGCUCUGGGAGCGAAGGGGCCAGGAAAGGAGGCUUUGGUGAAAUGACAGAAUUUAUGGGUCUGGUCUCCUGGGAGAGGGGUUACCUACUGGAUCUCAGGCUGGCUGUUGUCUGAAGUCUGGAGGGGGCAAAGGAUUCUCUAGGGACUCUGACCUUGUGGGAGCAAGUGACUGAGCAUGCAAACCUGAGCAGAUGAUUGGGACAUGUCAUACCAAGAUAAAGUCAUGAGCCAAUUUCCAUUGAUGAAGGCUGGUGUAUAUCCAAAUAAAUAAUAAAUUUGCACUGCUUGUCUCGAACAGCACAAGAUGGUAUGUUCCUGAGGUAGAGAGCCAGGAGCUGGAGGGAUUUGGGCGGUGCCUUUCUCCGUCAAUGUUGAGUGGAAGAAGUCUGCUAAAGGUAGAUGAGGAAAAGACACUGGAAUGGAAUCUUCCUAUUACUAAGGAAGAGGAAUUUCCAGUCCUGGGUGGAUUGAUGACUCACAACUUAGUCAGCUCUUCUUUGCAUGCUGGUUGAGUAAAGGUGCCCUGAAGCAAGGUAACUGCUGUUGGUUGUGAAUUGGACCCAGCUCCUUUAUACUUUAGUUUUAAUUUGUACAGGAUGGGAUUUAAUUAGCUAGAACAGCUUGAAUUUGUCUGUCUGUUAAACUACACUUUUAGUUGUUGAAUUAAUUAAAAAAAAAAAUCUUCAUUUCUAACACAUUUGUAUGUCAGAUCUCAUUUGUACCAUGUGGUAACUUUGAUCAAUUUAUGAGUGGUGUUUGGCAUCUACAUAAACAAGCAUGUGCUACAAGUGUUUUGAACAAUUUUAUAUUUCUAACAGAUGUGUUUUCAUAUCUGUAUUUGAGAUCUGUUAGAUGUACAAGAUCAAGCCAAGUGUUCUAUAGCGAAAUAAAGUUAAACAAAUUUGUUAAUAACUAACAAGUGUUGCACAAAAACUAGUUAAUAAUCAGACAAUUGUUAUACUUUAGAUUAAUCUUCUAAAGAUCCUAGUGGAAAAAAACUACAUGUAAGAUUUAAAGUAAUUUCUACUACCUCACUCCUUCAAACAGAUGUUAUACACUUACCAAAAGAACCAAGAUCGAACAAAACUUGUUCAACCUACCUAACAAAACAGAAAAACAUUGUGUGUGUUUGACUUGGAUCUUAUUCAAGAGUCUCAUCUUUCAAGCAUGAUGUAAUUAAUUUGAGAUUAGAGUGAAAAACAUAGCUCUCAAGUGCGUGAUAUCAGACAUGUUUAUUAGAUACUGAAAACAGGAUUUAAUGACUGUCUGUCUACUACAAUCCUAGAAUCACAGUUAUUUAUGUUUUCAUUAAGAAAUUAUAACUAGAUGUGUAAGACAUGAUUUACUGUUCACCCUACAUAAUUUGUCUCAAAAUAAAACAUUUAUCGGAUGAUAUAAAAUGAUCAGGUAAAGAUUUGUCAACUCUUAAACUCCUUGUCACUUGAGCACCAAAAAGAUGGUUUUUGUAACUACAGUUAACAAAACAUGUUUGACUAUUGUUUGGAGUUUACUGAUAGGAAAUAAAUCUUACAUUAUAGCAAUUUUAAACUUGACCUGAUAGGUGUUCAGAUAUGGAGAUUAAUGAGAUAAUGAGCUGAAUAUCCUUAUCAAACUCAUUAUCAAAGUUUGAUUGGUGAACAAAUUUGAGACAGUUGUUGUACCAUGUCUUUAACAAAUACCACUUCAGAUGCAAUAAGAGUCCGGUGGCACCUUUUACCAGUAGUUAAUCCAGUAAGGUAUUUAGCUCUUUUACCCACAAAAGCUUAAGUACUGGUAGCAAAACAAAAUAUGUAUUUAGGCAUCUGUUGUUAACUGUUUUAACCAUCAACAUCAGGAUCUAGGAUAACAAUCAAUCAUGUUAAAUACCGAAUAUGGACAGUGAUUGUUCACUAACAUCCUGUCAUCUGAUGAGGAUGUUUAAGAUGUUAGAGAAUCUGUUUUCUAGAGAACAUUAUGGGCAGAUUGUUUCAAAAUGUUGUUUGAUUUGAAGUUGUCUGAACUCAGAGAAUCUAGGAUGUUUGAUUUACAUAUCUGAUAAACAUCCUAGAUUCUCCAUAUCAUCUGAUGACAUGUAAAUAGUGAACACUGUUUGUAUAAUGUAGAGUUAGAAAAACAGUUUUCCAACCAAGAUUAAAGAUUUUUAAAAUUAACUUUGGUGAGCAAACAAACAAACCUGUCUGUGUGAAAACUGACAGUUAUGAUCAUGAGAAAGUUAAUAUUUAAAGAUUGGUAUACCAUUUCUUUUAUAAGAGUUUCUUAAGUGCACUUUAAUUGAAACUACAUGAACUUCAAACUAUCAUUCAGAUUUAAACAUGUAAAUCUUGAAACUGAGACAUAACAUCCAACUUACUUUCCCGAUUGGAAGAUUAAAGAUAUUACU